CCCAGUCUCCGCAUCUUAAUGAAAUAAUGGGACUAGUAACACCAACCUAAAUGUAUUGCCACAAGGAUGAAACUAACAAGACCCUUUCACAGGCCCAGUGCCUGGUGUUCAGCGGGUCUUCGAUAAUUGUUCCUUCUGUUAGCAUUCAUUAAACACCUACUGUGUACCAGAUGCCAGGUUGUGCUCCCCUAGCCCCAAGAAUGGACCUAGGUUUUCUAGGUGGCCCCCUUAGUCCACUCUCUCCUCUUAGCUCAGCAGCUCUGGGCAGCUGUGAGUCCCAGUCUAUUUGGCUGCAGAUUGGAUGGGACCUCACCUGCCCUAGUUUGUUUGUUUGCUUUUUUAAGAUGGAGUCUCGCUCUGUCGCCCAGGCUGGAGCACAGUGGCAUGAUCUUGGCUCACUGCAACCUCCACCUCCC
rnacentral:lncRNA from 10 species